rnacentral:misc_RNA from 1 species
AAUGCUUUCAUUUUCGCUUCAAAUCGCUGUUUCGUACCGUUGCACCCCCCGUAACUGUGAUCUCCGGUGCUGUUAAGAGUCAGUUGUGCAGAUGCAGCGUUUUGCAAGUGCUUUGUUGGGCAGAUGGGGUGCCGCACAGUGCAGGGUGGUGCCUUUUCGGGCUCACCCGACUCUUUUGCCCCUGAUGAACAGGGUGCGCUGCUUCUCUGUGAUUAGUGCUGCUUACGAGGGAUCGGCCCCCGCAACGAGCUCGAAUAUCGGCGACCCGCAUGCGCCACCGAAGACAAACGCGUCUGCAGUGUCAACAGAGCACGACGUCUCUAUCACGGACGGCAAUGGUGAUCGUGUCGACGUCACCCCGCUAAACUCAUUUGAAGAGUUGCGCGAUGCACCGCGAUGGCUGGCGGAGGGGUUGAAGACGCUCAAGUACCCUUCCACGACUGACAUUCAGAAGUUCACAAUACCUUUGCUGGCCGACGGUCACGAUGUUAUCGGACUUGCACCAACAGGCUCGGGAAAGACGGUGGCGUUCGCGGUUCCAGCCCUGGCGGGGUUCAAGCCCAACCCCGAUGGGACGCCGUCUGUUCUGGUUCUAGCUCCCACGCGGGAGUUGGUGCAACAAACCACGAAGGUAUUUCAGAACCUCGGAUGUGGGCAGGUGCGCGUCUGCGAGGCCUACGGUGGUGCCCCGCGCGAUCUACAGGCCCGCCGUCUUCGCAACGGCUGUGACGCUCUCGUUGCUUGUCCAGGACGACUCAAGGACUUUCUCGACGGCGGCGACGUGUCUAUCCGUAAUCUGUCGUUUCUGGUCUUUGACGAAGCAGAUCGCCUUCUCGACAUGGGGUUCCAGGUCCACUUGGAUGAGAUUAUGGCCUACCUUGGCUCAGCUUCACACCCGCAGACGAUGAUGUGGUCGGCGACGUGGCCAGAGUCGGUGCAAGAGAUGGCGCGCAAAUAUCUAUCGGACGAUCGUGUUUUGAUUCGAGCCGGUACGGCCGGCGCGGGGCUUCAAGUGAAUGAGCACAUCAAGCAAGAGCUCAUCUUCUGCAGAACCUUCACAGAGCGCAUUGAGAAGCUUGGGUCGUUGGUCGAGGAUGGGACCAUCGACGACAACAAGGACAAGCUCAUCAUCUUUGUGGAGCGCCAGGCGGAUACGGAAAACACAGCCAGGGCUUUCAGCCACCGGCUAGGAAUCGAUACACGCUACGUAGGGACAAUUCACGGCGGUCUGUCGCAGCGGCAGCGGGACAGGGUCAUGAGCAUGUUCAAGAACAACCACAUUCGCCUUCUCGUCGCGACCGAUGUUGCUUCUCGAGGUCUAGACAUUCCUGAUGUAACGUGCGUGGUGAACUUUCAGGCUCCAAAAACGAUUGACAGCUAUUGCCAUCGCAUCGGCCGCACCGGCCGCGCCGGUCGCACCGGCACCGCUUACACAUUCCUUGGCGAAGAGGAUGGUGGUCUCGCAACAGAACUCGUCAACUACUUGACUCGCUGCCAUGCCACUGCCCCAAAGGAGUUGAUGCAGCUCGCCGAGAGCUACCAGCAUCGGAUGCAGCAGCAGAGGCAGCGCUUCAGGCGGGUUGAUCGAGGAGGUUUCUCCAGAAGGGAGAACAACAGUGGGUUCGGCCGCCGCCGCAGCGAUCGAGGCGGUUCACGCGAGUUCAUGCCUCGCAGGCCCGACUCGCGCAAGCCCGAUGACGAUCUUCCGUCCACAUUGGACUGGUGAGCACACCCCAGGGGAUAGAGGAUGGGGUGAAAUUACCUGAUUAGUUUAACGCAGUGCUUCGGCACAAACCGCUACCCUUUAGUACUUGGAGGGCCGUCCAAUACAUGACCUGUGAAUCUCCCGCUAUCAAGGUUCUCCAUCCGAUUCCUUGUCCCUUAGAGCUCCGCGGUUCUUCGAUUGUUUUAUUGUUGGUCUCCUGAGGAGUUUCUUCUUCCUCCCUGUUUUUCAUAUGACCUUUUUUCUUCCGCUUCUUUCCUUCUCUCUGUCUCCCUGAUAACGGGGGACACCUCAG